rnacentral:misc_RNA from 1 species
AACUUUUAGCAAUGGAUCUCUCAUCCCUUCAUUACGUGCUGGGAAGCGCUUAUUGGAAACGGUCACACUUGGAAGAGGCCGCGACGGAAUUUCGCCGGGCGAUUGCGCUGGAUUCGCAGCAUUUCAUGGCUCACUACAAGCUUGGAAUGGUUUUGCUCGAACAGAACAACCCGGCGGAUGCACUGAAGGAAUUUCGUGCAGCGCUCAACGGGCAACCAGGUCUGGUCAAUGGUUACCUGGGAGUUGGAAAGUCGCUGUACCAGCAGGGAGAGUACGAAGCAGCGGUCCCGAUACUUCAGCGCUAUGCCGCGCUUGCCCCUGAGGAUCCGACGCCGCACUAUCUCCUCCAGCAGAUUUUCCACCGAUUAAACAAUUCGACUGCCGCGGAGGAACAACUCACUCUCUUUAAGCAUAUCAAUAAGCGGAGGCU